rnacentral:lncRNA from 10 species
CCAGUCAGGACACAGCACGGACGCGAGGGCCCCCACUCAGCUCCUGGGGCUCCUGGGGCUCUGGCUGCCAGGUAAGGAAGGAGAACACUAGGAAUUUACUCAGCCAGUGUGCUCAGUACAGCCUGGCUCUUCAGGGAGGGCUUCUUAUAAAUGAUUGAUUAUGUAGAUGUUUGUUUUUAUGUUUCCAACCUCAGGUACCAGACGUGAUAUCCAGAUGACCCAGUCUCCAUCCUCCCUGUCUGCAUCUGUAGGAGACAGAGUCACUAUCACUUGCCAGGUGAGUCACAGCAUUAGUAAUAAAUUAGUCUGGUAUCAGCAGAAACCAGGGAAAGCCCCUACUCUCCUAAUUCAUGCUGCAACAAAACUGCAGACGGGGGUCCCAUCCUGGUUCAGUAGCAGUCAAUCUGGGACAGAUUUCACUCUCACCAUCAGCAGCCUGCAGCCUGCAGCGUGAUGAUUUGGCCACUUAUUACUAUCAACAGCAUUACAGUUACCCUCCUACUGUGUUGCAAGUGAUAACAUAAACCACACAGGGAAGCAGAUGUGUGAGGCUGGGCUGCCCCUGCUGCUCCUCCUGGUGCCCUCAUCUGCUGAGAGCAAUUCUCAAAUUGCAGUCAAACUUUGAAGGUCAUUGGAAAGUUUUGGUAGAAGGGUCUAUGAAGUCUCCUGUAUACCUUAACAGUCUUUCCUUCUCCUCAUCCCCAGUAGCACAGACAUGGCAAUGUCUCUCCUGAUUUCAUUAAGAAGUGAUUAUUACACCUGAGGAGUCUGAGUUAUGGUGUCAGUUGUAAUUAAUAUCUCAAAGAAUAAGCCACUCUUGAAAUUCCAAGUAGGAUUAUUUUUCUAAAUAUAGGGAAUGAGAGUCUAAACAACAGCUUUUAAAAGGCUUGGGGGCAUAGUAGUCAAAGAUGCAAAUACUACAAGAGAAAGAUUAUUUGGAUCUCCUCAAGAAUCCAGAGUGCAUCUUCCACAGAAGGUGUAAUUGCCAAUCGUGUGGUCUUCAGACAUUUCUGGGAAGCCCAGGUUCAGGGCUGCUGAUGCUCUGCUUGGAGGGCCUGCCUGAAUUCUGUAGCAUUUGCUUACAAGUGAACAGCCAGCAUCUUAUUCCAGAGGGAACUAGCACAUGCAGAUGAUCCAGAUUUAACAACCACACCUUUUCUUUAUGGACGUUGCCCUCUUUGACUUUUCCCGCAGCCUUUUUCAUUCACUGUACUUCUGCUGACCCCUCAUGGCCA